rnacentral:rRNA from 1 species
UGGGGAAUAUUGCACAAUGGGCGCAAGCCUGAUGCAGCCAUGCCGCGUGUAUGAAGAAGGCCUUCGGGUUGUAAAGUACUUUCAGCGGGGAGGAAGGGAGUAAAGUUAAUACCUUUGCUCAUUGACGUUACCCGCAGAAGAAGCACCGGCUAACUCCGUGCCAGCAGCCGCGGUAAUACGGAGGGUGCAAGCGUUAAUCGGAAUUACUGGGCGUAAAGCGCACGCAGGCGGUCUGUCAAGUCGGAUGUGAAAUCCCCGGGCUUAACCUGGGAACUGCAUUCGAAACUGGCAGGCUAGAGUCUUGUAGAGGGGGGUAGAAUUCCAGGUGUAGCGGUGAAAUGCGUAGAGAUCUGGAGGAAUACCGGUGGCGAGGGCGGCCCCCUGGACAAAGACUGACGCUCAGGUGCGAAAGCGUGGGGAGCAAACAGG